rnacentral:rRNA from 1 species
AUUGAACGCUGGCGGCAUGCCUUACACAUGCAAGUCGAACGGCAGCACGGGGGCAACCCUGGUGGCGAGUGGCGAACGGGUGAGUAAUACAUCGGAACGUGUCCUGUAGUGGGGGAUAGCCCGGCGAAAGCCGGAUUAAUACCGCAUACGCUCUACGGAGGAAAGGGGGGGAUCUUAGGACCUCCCGCUACAGGGGCGGCCGAUGGCAGAUUAGCUAGUUGGUGGGGUAAAGGCCUACCAAGGCGACGAUCUGUAGCUGGUCUGAGAGGACGACCAGCCACACUGGGACUGAGACACGGCCCAGACUCCUACGGGAGGCAGCAGUGGGGAAUUUUGGACAAUGGGCGAAAGCCUGAUCCAGCAAUGCCGCGUGUGUGAAGAAGGCCUUCGGGUUGUAAAGCACUUUUGUCCCGGAAAGAAAAACGCCGUGGGUAA